GGCAUGGGAAGGCAGCGUGUUGGGAUGGGACAGGACUGAAAAGAUGCUCGCUGCUGGUCUGUAUGCACUCUGCCCUAGCUACUUGUGGAAGAUGGACAAGACAGAAGGUCGGUUACAGCACUCCUAGAGCUGUUAAGGUGUAUCAUGUGUCGGAUUGUCUCAUCUCAUCUCUAACAACAUCGGCUCUCUGUAAGAAGGAUGCUGACUCGUCUGCCCAUCGUUGACGAUGUGAUGCUGCUAUCUGGGCCAACUCCACACUGCUGGUCAGGAGCAGUUUCAGGCGAUGGAAAGGGAAGUCCAACACAGGCUGUGGUUUUCUUACCCACCAUGCCCCCAUUGUCACCCACAGAUGCGGGCUUCUGUUGAAGGGAGUUUUACCAGCUUGAGCACAGAUUCAGGGUAGUCUUGGCGCAUGCACAAGCCCUGUGCUUUAAUAACAUAAUGCAGCCAGAAAAAGGUCCUUUAAAAUGUUCCCGACAUGCAUCCAGUGACUCAUAACUCCCGCAAAGAUCUACCGUCCAUUGCUUAGAAACAGAAGGCACUGAGUUAGCACAAGAACGAAGGCUGCCAUCCGAGGCUGUGUGACUGACAGCAUGAUGCCAAGCCAAUAGCCUGGGAGUUGAAAUCAAGACUAGACACUUUGGGCCAAAAGAAGUCUUAUUCAUGUGCGUGUGCGUGCGGACGUGCUGUUGCAAUGGCACGCUGCCUUUCUCUGUGCUAAGAAGUUGUCUGAGUGAUUCACAGGCUGAUGGCUGGAGUCAUAAUGUUGACCCCUUCCACGAAUGUUGUUCCCCCCGAACCCUCGCGUCAGCCCUUAAAUGUUGUUGAUGGCUUUGCAGUGGGAUGUGUGAGGGCUCUUCAUGUUCUCUACAGAUAAGAAAACCCAUAUCCCAUGGAGAGAUACUUUCCUGAUGAAAAGGAAAGGAGUGGAGCAAGGAUGCUGCAUGUUAGGGUGAAGCUGUCCCCUGAACCCCCAGCCCCGACGGCAUUUACGCUCUGUAUAAAUAAAUAUGGUUUCAGCACGGCACACAUCACGUGGACUUCCAAAAGACACAGCUCACCUUCACCACUCAAAUGAUCAAAAACUGUUCGUCUUCUUUUAACUCAAUUGGUUUUAGAUCUUUUUUCUUUGUGAAGAUUUUACUCCCAUCCUGUUAAAGGAUUCUGCACCUCACAGGCAAUCUGGGUGAAUUCAGUGUCGGGGAUGCCACUCCUAGCUUCGGUCCAGGGUCUGCACUGAAGGUCCUUCCCAUGUACCUGAAGAAUACUGCUGUGCUGUAGGCUUUUCUAAGUUUUAUCAUUUUUUUACUAUUUGUGGUACAGAAUUGAAAGCUAAAUGCAGCAAAUCUACCUCUUACUGUUACACUAGAAAACUUGUGGCAGAAAAAGAUCAUUAUUGCCCAAGGGAGAUGAACAAAGAUUUGGUUAGAAGACUCUUUUAACUUGCAGACAAACUUAAGUUGACAAACCUGUGUUUUUUUCUAAUUUGUUCUCAACUCUGGGGACAGGUCCUGAGAUCAUUGCUCUAUUACAACACCACCUUUGCUUGGGAGAGGUUAAGCAGUUAAAGAUUUAAACUAUGCUGUAUAGCUGUCUUGUUGGUAUUGAUAAACAGCUAUAAGAAGGCAACAUUUGUUUUCCAAAUAGUUUUUUUUUUUUUCUCUUAGAUUUCUUUUCAGUCAAGCUUACAAUUUCAUAAAUUUAUUAAAUGAACAUAAAACAUCUGGUAGUUAGUCUCUUCCCUGUGGAGUCUGCUUCAUGUGAAAUGUUAUUUCUGUUCAAAUAGCAGCUUCUGGAGUAUCGUUUUUGCAAAGGAAUAAAUUGUCUGUUGAAUUAAUGAA